CCUACGGGUGGCUGCAGUGAGGAAUAUUGGUCAAUGGCCGAGAGGCUGAACCAGCCAAGUCGCGUGAGGGAUGACGGCCCUACGGGUUGUAAACUUCUUUUGUAGAGGAGUAAAGUGAACCACGUGUGGCUUUUUGAGAGUACUUUAUGAAUAAGGAUCGGCUAACUCCGUGCCAGCAGCCGCGGUAAUACGGAGGAUCCGAGCGUUAUCCGGAUUUAUUGGGUUUAAAGGGAGCGUAGGUGGGUUUUUAAGGCAGUUGUGAAAGUUGGUGGCACAACCGUAAAAUUGCAAUUGAUAUGGGCAGUAGUGAGUACAGGUGAGGUAGGCGGAAGUCGUGGUGUAGCGGUGAAAUGAUUAGAUAUCACGAAGAACUCCGAUUGCGAAGGCAGCGUACUAAACGGCCACUGACAUUGAUGCUCGAAAGUGUGGGUAUCAAACAGGAUGAGAUACCCUUGUAGUC
rnacentral:rRNA from 1 species